UCCUACGGGACGCAGCAGUAGGGAAUUUUCGUCAAUGGGCGCAAGCCUGAACGAGCAAUGCCGCGUGAACGAGGAAGGUCUUCGGAUCGUAAAGUUCUGUUGAAGGGGAAAAAGAGCGGAGAGAGGAAAUGGUCUCCGAUUGAUAUUACCCUUCGAGGAAGUCACGGCUAACUACGUGCCAGCAGCCGCGGUAAUACGUAGGUGGCAAGCGUUAUCCGGAUUUACUGGGUGUAAAGGGCGUGUAGGCGGGGGAGCAAGGCAGACGGGAAAUUCCAGGGCUCAACCCGGGAACUGCGUUUGAAAAU
rnacentral:rRNA from 1 species